GAUCCUACGGGACGCAGCAGUGGGGAAUAUUGGGCAAUGGGCGCAAGCCUGACCCAGCAACGCCGCGUGAAGGAAGAAGGCUUUCGGGUUGUAAACUUCUUUUCUCAGGGACGAAGAAAGUGACGGUACCUGAGGAAUAAGCCACGGCUAACUACGUGCCAGCAGCCGCGGUAAUACGUAGGGGGCGAGCGUUAUCCGGAUUCAUUGGGCGUAAAGCGCGCGUAGGCGGCCUGUUAGGUCGGGGGUCAAAUACCGGGGCUCAACCCCGGUCCGCCCCCGAUACCGGCAGGCUUGAGUCUGGUAGG
rnacentral:rRNA from 1 species